GCGGUGGGUGGUGGGCAUUACUGUCGGGCGUGGGUGGUCUCCUCUGCAUCUGCAGGGCGUGAGGCUGUGGGUUUGUGGUGUGUGGCCUCAGCAGAUGUGUUGGGGAGGCUUCAUGCUCUGUGAGUAACAACAAUUCUGUCAGCCAUUGCCACCUUACUAUGCGCUUUACAUGCCUUAGUUCACUUGAUCAUCUCAGUGAGUUUUCCUCAUUGUUUCAUUUAUAGAUGAGGAAGGUGAGACACAGAGAGGUCAAGUAACUCUCUUGAUGUCACACAGCUGUUUUAAAUCCAGGCCGUCUGACACCAGGACAGACAAUAUCUGAGCCACGUUGUGGGGCAGGAAGGAGCCGGUCUGGGGAAGAGGAACCCGCUACAUCCAUGUCCACUUUGGUGUCCUGAGGUAGCAGGUCUGGAGUGAGGGUAGCUUUUCCCGCCCGUCUCCCUGCACAGCAGCAUGUCAGCUUGUAGCAGGAGCAUUAGGAGAAGAAACAGAAACCCACUAGCAGCUGCUGAGACAGGCCCACAGUGGGGAAGGAGGGGCAUAGAAGGCCCCGACCUUGGCUUUCAGGAGCAGGAUCCAGCUGGCAAGGUAUGGGGGCUAACCUAGCUCACCCAACCUAACCUCCAUGCUACUGUCUUGCCCCACCUCUCUUUGGAGGACCAAGGUGCCUUCCUGAAAAGACCAUGACUGGGGUCAAAGUUCCCUGCAGAACCCCUUCUCCUCCAAGGGCCACUCCCUGACUCCCAGGAGACCCCCUUCCAGGGGCUGUCCAGGGCUUUGGCUAAUCAGUUCACCCGUACCCCCACCCCUACCUGUCUCCCCCUCUUCAUGGGAAAUAGACCUCUCUGCCCACAGGGUCAGAGCCACUUUCCCACAGGGAUCAGACGUCCUUAGUCCUGGACAUUACACUCCUUCCACAAGGAUCUGCUCACUUCUUCCCUCCUAUCCACCUCUGUCCUGGUUUGGCAUCUGGGGCCCCGUGUGCUCCUCUGCACUUCUGACUGAGCCAGAGGUCAGACGGACAGAAUUUUGGCUCUAGAACCACCCCUCGCCUCGCGUUCUGGCCUGGCGGCACCCCGGGGGAACGCUGGUGGGCUAGGCGGCCAAAGCCCCUCCUCCGACCCGCAGAGGCCCCGCCCCCUCCCCUUCCUCGGGGCCUCCGCGGCGCCCUCGCUCCUCGCGGUACCCCCUCUGGGGGCCCUCCGCCGCUGGGCCGAGGCCGGAGCCGCGGCCGCCGCCGCCGCCGCCGCC